rnacentral:rRNA from 1 species
GCCAAGCUAUUUAGGUGACACUAUAGAAUACUCAAGCUAUGCAUCCAACGCGUUGGGAGCUCUCCCAUAUGGUCGACCUGCAGGCGGCCGCGAAUUCACUAGUGAUUAGAGUUUGAUCCUGGCUCAGGAUGAAUGCUGGCGGCGUGCCUAACACAUGCAAGUCGAGCGGCAGCGCGAGUAGUUUACUACUUGGCGGCGAGCGGCGGACGGCUGAGUAACGCGUGGGAACAUACCCCAAAGUGAGGGAUAACCGCCCGAAAGGGUGGUUAAUACCGCAUAUGGUCUUCGGAUUAAAGGAUUUAUCUGCUUUGGGAAUGGCCUGCGUACGAUUAGAUUGUUGGUGGGGUAAAGGCCUACCAAGUCGACGAUCGUUAACUGGUCUGAGAGGAUGAUCAGUCAGACUGGAACUGAGACACGGUCCAGACUCCUACGGGAGGCAGCAGUGAGGAGUCUUCCACAAUGGGCGAAAGCCUGAUGGAGCAACGCCGCGUGCAGGAUGAAGGCCUUCGGGUCGUAAACUGCUUUUAUAAGUGAAGAAUAUGACGGUAACUAUGAAUAAGCACCGACC